rnacentral:rRNA from 1 species
UACGGAGGGGGCGAGCGUUGUUCGGAUUUACUGGGCGUAAAGCGUGCGCAGGCGGUCGUGCAAGACAGAUGUGAAAUCCCCGGGCUUAACCUGGGAACUGCAUUUGUGACUGUACGGCUGGAGUGCGGCAGAGGGGGAUGGAAUUCCGCGUGUAGCAGUGAAAUGCGUAGAUAUGCGGAGGAACACCGAUGGCGAAGGCAAUCCCCUGGGCCUGCACUGACGCUCAUGCACGAAAGCGUGGGGAGCAAACAGG